rnacentral:rRNA from 1 species
ACGGGCCGUUUUUCGCAAGAGAGACGGUCAGUGGCGAAAGGGUGAGUAACACGUGAGUAACCUGCCCCCAAGUCCGGGAUAGCCCGCGGAAACGCGGAUUAAUACCGGAUGUGGUACCGCGGCGCAUGCCGUGGCCACUGAAGAUUUAUCGCUCGGGGAUGGACUCGCGGCCCAUAAGCUUGUUGGCGGGGUAACGGCCCACCAAGGCUAUGACGGGUAGGUGGUCUGAGAGGAUGGUCACCCACACUGGGACUGAGACACUGCCCAGACUCCUACGGGAGGCUGCAGUCGAGAAUCUUCCGCAAUGGGCGCAAGCCUGACGGAGCGAUGCCGCGUGAGGGAUGAAGGCCUUCGGGUUGUAAACCUCUGUCAGAGGGGACAAAGAAUGUGAUGGUACCCUCAGAGGAAGCCACGGCUAACUACGUGCCAGCAGCCGCGGUAAUACGUAGGUGGCGAGCGUUAUUCGGAUUCACUGGGCGUAAAGGGUCCGUAGGGGGUCUGCCAAGUCUGAUGUGAAAUCCCGCGGCUCAACUGCGGAACGGCAUUGGAUACUGGCGGGCUGGAGUCUGCGAGGGGUGAGCGGAAUUCCUGGUGUAGCGGUGGAAUGCGUAGAUAUCAGGAAGAACACCGAUGGCGAAGGCGGCUCACUGGCGCAGUACUGACCCUGAGGGACGAAAGCGUGGGGAGCAAACAGGAUUAGAUACCCUGGUAGUCCACGCCUUAAACAUUGUGCACUAGAUGUGGGGGGUUUGACCCCUUCCGUGUCCAAGCUAACGCGAUAAGUGCACCGCCUGGGGACUACGGCCGCAAGGCUAAA